rnacentral:rRNA from 1 species
CACGUAUUUAGCCGGGGCUUCUUGGUCAGGUACCGUCAAUGUCUUCCCUGCUGACAGAGCUUUACAUACCGAAGUACUCCAUCGCUCACGCGGCGUCGCUGCAUCAGGGUUGCCCCCAUUGUGCAAUAUCCCCCACUGCUGCCUCCCGUAGGAGUCUGGGCCGUGUCUCAGCCCCAAUGUGGCCGCCCACCCUCUCAGGCCGGCUACUGAUCGUCGCCUUGGUGGGCCGUUACCCCGCCAACAAGCUAAUCAGACGCGGACCCAUCCCGCACCGCCUGGGCUUUCCGCACAGCCCCAUGCGGGGCCGUGCGCAUAUGCGGUAUUAGCAGCCGUUCGGCUGUUGUCCCCAGUGCGGGUAGUGUCCACGCGUUACUCACCCGUCGCCACUCAGUCACGAGGGGCUUCCUUUCCGAAGAAAUUCCGCCCCAGCCGCUUCGUUCGACUUCGCA